ACAACAAAAUGAAACAUAAUCUUAUCUUAUCUGUUAUGACAUGAUUAGGAAGUAGUUAGGAAUUAGUUAUUUGUUUCGGGAAUAGGGUAAAGUUUUAAUUAGCGACAAGUGACGUGACAGAUCUUUUAAAAGGAGGAACGCUCUAAACGACGCUAGAAGGAGGACGCGUAUUGUAAAGUAGUAGACUUGAGUACGACAUUAUUGACAUCGGACGAUUCCCUUUUGAGUAUUAAACAUAUUGUUAGAACAACAUAUCAGCGUCGACUACAUAUUUGAUUGUUUCGGCCUUUCGCCGGUGUUACUGAAGUGUUGAAUUCAGCGUUACCUACAGUCAGAUCUACACUAGACAGAUUGUCAAGAAUCAACACCGCGCAGAGGUCUUAACAACGUGGCGACCCCUGACUCGGAGCUCACUGGCAUCAACGUUCAGAAGGAUAGAAGCCCUCUGUUAGGAGGAGGCAGAAGUUAACGUCAUCGGCCUAGUCUGCAGCUAGACCCUGAUUGUACAGCCACGUCGGCGAAGGAAAGCCAGUGAGAUCCUGGACUCGUAGACCUAGGAGGUAACGAAAUAUAGAUCUAGAUCUACAUUUGUAAUUUGUAAACGCCCAUACGUUGGGGCAUCGUACUGAAGCCUGUAGUUCGGUAUUGAGAAAGCUACAGUUGUUGAAGGGAAGAAAACCGUCCUGUCGAAGCCGUACUGAAGAGAUAUCGCCUGCCCGGCAUCUUGAGAACGAACGUGAAGGUCACCUCUGCAAGGCCAAGAUCGACUGUUGAGGUCACGCCAAAGAACGUGUGACGUAGGAACCAUCUUACUGCCUACGGCACUGAAGUACAGUAGUGCUAAUCUGAUCUACGUCUCGGCUGAAUCUGUGCUACACGUUAGAUAGCCAGAUAGCCGGUAUUUUAGCACUGGACUUUGACUUUGUCGCUGUGUCAACUGUUGGACCGUUCCAGUGUCACUUUGGACAGACGACCACCUGGAACCACCGUACCUGCCUUGGAACCAGCAACCGGAACCAGACUCUACGUCACCGACGAACCGGAGCCAGACGACAGAUCACCGUGAACCAGAACCAGACGCCGUACCACCGAAGAACCGGAGCCGUUGCAGACCAGCACCGAAGGACCUUGGAGAGCCGAAACGUUCGCUGUCCUUAUCUCACCGCUAGAGAAGACAUCGCCGUGAACCUUGCCGCCGGGACAGACAUUAGCGUAGGAAGAGUGGACCCGAGACUGACUGUGGAGUUAUCGCAUCGCCGCUUCUUAGACAGAUAAGUCAAGUGUUAUUUAACUACUUUCUCCGUAGAAUAAUUAGAGUCUGUAGGGAAGUGACCACUCGCUAGAUUAUCACUACCAGGUUAAAUCGUGGUGGAUUGGGGAUAUCCUUAAAAUUAGGUGUAAUCUAGCAAGAGGUCCAGAUAUACGUUUAGCUGUUAAUUCGUCCUGUAUGUGAAUGUGGAUCAUUUAGUUAAGCAUUUUUUUUUGUAGUAACGUCAUGUAUUAAUUGUUUGCAAUACUCCCGUCUUAAGUAUUACUGUCAGACGAAAGUCUCAUUCAUUAGAACUAGAGCUAUAGUUUGGUGUUUAUCGUAUUUAGGUUUAAUUUCAUAGUUUAUUUGUAUGCGUUGUAAGUUAUAUACACUCCUGGCUGUGGAAGCAGGUAAGAAGUAACUAAGAUCUAGCGUAAUCUAGACUAGAUCUGGGGAACAAUCGAGGUGAAGCCUGAUUGCCCAUUUGUAAAUUUAGUAUUUGUAAAUAGACAGGGUGGUCUAUUUACCGGCGACUCGUGUUGAGUAACACGUAGUCGGUUGAGUGUGCGUGUGUCGCACAGCGUAUUCAGUCGGGUCAGAGUGUAGCCUACACACUGGUACCAAGGAUACUAAGUGUAUCUUGGAAAGUACAGAAGUUAUUAAAAGUCGGAGUUGGUAGUCUAGACGCCGAGGGUAGAGUGGCGAAUUUAAUUUAUUUGAAUCAAGAGGUAUUAGGUAGCCGCGGAGCGAGGUUACGCUCAAAAGGUAAAUUGUCUGUCCUGACGUGUGAGGGAAAGCGGUGUAACCUCUGGAACGUGAUGUGAUGAAGUAUAGAUAGACACACCUAUAGUGUCAGCGCAAACGAACUAUGUCUGCGGUCACCUAUGGCACAUCACAUUGGACAGUAUCAGUUAGUGACACUUGAGGGAAAUAGGUGUUCAGAGGAACUUGAUUGUGGACACAGAAAGAGAAGUUGAACUCGCAAUCAAGACUCAAGUUGUGUUGUCUUUUAUGUUUCCCUACAUUUUGGCCCUUGCACAUUGUAAGACUAAGACAGUAGAUUUAAAAAAUUGACAGGCAAUUUUUUUUAGCGGGAGGGGGAGGAGUUGUUAUGACAUGAUUAGGAAGUAGUUAGGAAUUAGUUAUUUGUUUCGGGAAUAGGGUAAAGUUUUAAUUAGCGACAAGUGACGUGACAGAUCUUUUAAAAAGAGGAACGCUCUAAACGACGCUAGAAGGAGGACGCGUAUUGUAAAGUAGUAGACUUGAGUACGACAUUAUUGACAUCGGACGAUUCCCUUUUGAGUAUUAAACAUAUUGUUAGAACAACAUAUCAGCGUCGACUACAUAUUUGAUUGUUUCGGCCUUUCGCCGGUGUUACUGAAGUGUUGAAUUCAGCGUUACCUACAGUCAGAUCUACACUAGACAGAUUGUCAAGAAUCAACACCGCGCAAAGGUCUUAACAUAUCUUAUAUAAUACAGACGUUACUUCAAAAAAGAAGAUGACUAUAUAAUCAUAGGUGAAUAUUAAUCCAUCAGACCGGAUUAUUUAAAAGUAUCGACCCUGAACAGCUGGACUGACUAUUUGCAUAUACCGUUCAAACUUAGAGAAAUGUGAUUUGUUUUUUUAGAUAGGGGCCUCGCAUAGGCUGUGGUGUUUUUGCCGUAGAAAAUAACAGCACCAGAUGCUACCUUCAGACUAACGACAGUGCCAACUACCCAGAAUGCUGCGAGCCUGUCUUUUACUGCAUAGGAUCCGCUGGCUUCCACCCAUCUAAGCUACAGACUCCAACUAUAACGGCCAGCACAAACGCUCCUGUCACAAAAAUAAAAAUUACACCUAAGCCCGCAAAGAAACCGACACCCAAGCCAACAAGGAAACCUGCGCUAAGGGCUACACCUAAACCUGCCUCUAGGCCUACACCAAAUCCGGUACCCAAACCUGCACAAAAACCUCAAGUAAAUAGAAGGGGGUAAAAAUAGAAUCCAUUACGUCACCGAUCUAGUUCAUUACUCCGCCAAAGCUAUUAAGAAUGUAAAGAUUUUUAUGUUAAAAAAUAAAGACGACUUAUAAGGGAAAUAUUAUAGACAUCAAGUUUAUGUAAAUGUAAUAUUAAAAUAAUACAGAUGUCUUGUCAUA